CCUACGAGGGGCAGCAGUGGGGAAUAUUGCACAAUGGGCGAAAGCCUGAUGCAGCAACGCCGCGUGAGCGAUGAAGGCCUUCGGGUCGUUAAGCUCUGUCCUCAAGGAAGCUAAUGACGGUACUUGAGGAGGAAGCCCCGGCUAACUACGUGCCAGCUGCCGCGGUACUACGUAGGGGGCUAGCGUUAUCCGGAAUUACUGGGCGUAAAGGGUGCGUAGUUGGUUUCUUAAGUCAGAGGUCAAAGGCUACGGCUCAACUGUAGUAAGCCUUUGAAACUGGGAGACUUGAGUGGAGGAGAGGAGAGUGGAAUGCGUGGUGUAGCGGUGAAAUGCGUAGAUAGUAGGAGGAACACCAGUUGCGAAGGCGGCUCUCUGGACUGUAACUGACACUGAGGCACGAAAGCGUGGGGAGCAAACAGGAUUAGAUACCCCAGUAGUC
rnacentral:rRNA from 1 species